rnacentral:lncRNA from 1 species
AACUUUUCUAGAGCUUAUAAGAGUAAAUAGUAGCUCAAUAUCAUCCCUUCUUUUUCACAACCCACUAUGAAUAUUCACCACACGAAGAUCCCCAUAUACUUCAUCACCCCCUAUCAUCCGGCUAAAGAAUAAAAGCUAAAUAGGCUCAAAGUGGAUAACAAAGGAUAAAUUUUUUUUCAAGGAUAGUGUUUGGGAAAAAUUGUGGCUAACAAAAGAUGGCCUAAAAUCAU